ACGGAGAGUUUGAUCCUGGCUCAGGACGAACGCUGGCGGCGUGCUUAACACAUGCAAGUCGAACGAGGCAGCGGCCUUCGGGCCGUUGUCGAGUGGCGAACGGGUGAGUAACACGUGAGGAACCUGCCCCGGAGACCGGGAUAACCAGGGGAAACCCUGGCUAAUACCGGAUGCCCUCGGAUGGUCGCAUGGCCGACCGAGGAAAUGCUCAGGUGCUCCGGGAGGGCCUCGCGGCCUAUCAGCUAGUUGGCGGGGUAACGGCCCACCAAGGCAUCGACGGGUAGCUGGUCUGAGAGGACGAUCAGCCACACUGGGACUGAGACACGGCCCAGACUCCUACGGGAGGCAGCAGUGGGGAAUAUUGCGCAAUGGGCGAAAGCCUGACGCAGCAACGCCGCGUGGGGGAUGAAGGCCUUCGGGUUGUAAACCCCUUUCAGCAGGGACGAAAAUGACGGUACCUGCAGAAGAAGCUCCGGCCAACUACGUGCCAGCAGCCGCGGUAACACGUAGGGAGCGAGCGUUGUCCGGAUUUAUUGGGCGUAAAGAGCUCGUAGGCGGUUUCGUAAGUCGGAUGUGAAAACUCAGGGCUCAACCCUGAGACGCCAUCUGAUACUGCGAUGACUAGAGUCCGGUAGAGGAGCAUGGAAUUCCUGGUGUAGCGGUGGAAUGCGCAGAUAUCAGGAGGAACACCAGCGGCGAAGGCGGUGCUCUGGGCCGGUACUGACGCUGAGGAGCGAAAGCGUGGGUAGCGAACAGGAUUAGAUACCCUGGUAG
rnacentral:rRNA from 1 species